UUGUGAACUUUAGGGUGCUCUUAUCUGCAGAGGGUUUCAUCCACUCAUCCACUCAUUCUUCCUGGCAUUGCUACCACCACUUUAUGUGGUCAUUUUGCCACUUUGUCACCUCCUUCAUCUGUUUUACUUUUUCCUGCUUCAUCUUGACAAGUCACUUGAGGGGGUCCAUAUCUCUGGAGGCAAGGCAGGAACAAGAAGGAUGAAUUAAGAAGGUCAAUGAAACUGACCUUGGACCCAAAUGAAAGAUUUACACGUGUUUUCCUGACAAACAAAGACAAUCUUACAUGAUUUCUGCUCCAGAGAAUGUGAGAGAAGGUUUAUAUUGCUGCCAUUUGGAACAUAUAUGAAGAUUAGUUUCCAGUUUGAUUUGUUUAUAUGGUGUGCCAAAUCCUUGUGAACUCCUGCACUGGAUGUUUUUAUAGUUACCAA